rnacentral:rRNA from 1 species
UACAGAGGGUGCGAGCGUUAAUCGGAAUUACUGGGCGUAAAGGGCGCGUAGGCGGCCUGCUAAGUCACACGUGAAAUCCCUCGGCUCAACCGGGGAACUGCGUGUGAUACUGGCGGGCUUGAAUUCGGGAGAGGGAUGUGGAAUUCCAGGUGUAGCGGUGAAAUGCGUAGAUAUCUGGAGGAACACCGGUGGCGAAGGCGGCAUCCUGGACCGAGAUUGACGCUGAGGCGCGAAAGCUAGGGUAGCAAACGGG